GACUGUGUAGUGUUUUACUGACUGCACAGGUAAGAGCUUGAGGCCAGUUAAUUACCUGUUCACACGCCAGGGAGACUUUUGACACUUCAUUCAAUGACCCUGACGUCCAAUACCCCGACGAAUUAACCGAUGUAAUUAUAUCAAUCAUACCAAUAUUAAUUGAUCAGACCGCGGUCCGCGUGUUUGUGUUUUGACAGCGGUUGAUCUGUGUCGAAUAAAGGCUUAAAUGACUUCGACAAUUAAAGUCAAACGCAUAUAUGACCCCGAUUACUUUGUAACACACGUGACAUGGAUGUUGCGUUUGCAAAACGAAAGUAACAUGGACUGUAGAACAAAAAGACCGUUGAUGAUAAUUUUAUUCUGUAAUCAUGAAGCGGCAACUAAAGCAGCAGUGUAUUGAAUCAUUUUUCGAGAAUUCGCCGAAACGAUAGAAGGCUUAGCCCGGUCUGUUCACCGACAAAGUCAAAACACGGAUCGUCAUUUUUACCGACUGAAUGAAGAAAAAUAUUCAUGGCUAAAGUACGACGAAGAUGAAGGCAUGUUUUGUAAGCAGUCUGCUUACAAAACUUAGCAGACUUAUGGACAGAGACCAGAAAAAGAAAUAUCACUAUCGCCACAUUGUUUGAUCCUGAUGACAAUUAAGUGUGAAGUUGUGCUGUAAGAAAAUGGACAAUUUGUGUGUGAAAAUGACUGACAAUUGUGACAUUGGAAAUCAUAUUAUAUUAGUGCUGUGACAUUACAUAUUGCUAUUGUGUUUAGUGUGAUAUCAUAGUGCUUAUUAUUUUAAGAAAUUUGAGCUUUGGAAGUGUAUCAGUAACAUUUAAUUAGUAAUCUGAAAGAGAGAUAGAGAGAGACCAUGUGUUUGAGAAAGUCUGAGUUGGUAAAGAAAAUGAAGAACGAGCAAUGUAUUAAUUUAAGGAUGUACAAAUAUGGAUGAGUCAGAGAUUGGUAAAUGCUGAUUGCUGUAUUUAUUUUUCUUACAUAUUGAAUAAAUAAAUUCAUAUUACCAUGAUUAAAAUAGUUUAUCAUUAUUUCUGAAAACAAUUUCUAAGAGGAUUUUAAUAACUACUGCACAACAAAUCAUCUCCCUAAAAAUGAAAAGGGACAUAACUCAUGUAAACAAAUUAUCUCCCUUUAAUUAAUUAAUAUUGGUCUUGCGGCGCGCUGG